AGCCUGAACGCUGGCGGCGUGGCUAAGACAUGCAAGUCGCACGGAUGUAGCAAUACAUCAGUGGCGAACGGGUGAGUAAUGAAUCGCUAAUGUGCCCCGGACUCUGAGAUAGCCAGUCGAAAGAUUGGGUAAUAUCAGAUGAUAUGCAACUGUCGCAUGACAGUUGCCUCAAAGGUCCGCCGGUCUGGGAGCAGGCGAUUUCGUAUCAGCUAGUUGGUGAGGUAACGGCUCACCAAGGCGACGACGCGUAACCGGACUGAGAGGUUGGCCGGUCACAGUUGGGACUGGAGACACUGCCCAGACCUCCGUACGGGGGGCUGCAGUAACGAAUCGUUCCGCAAUGACACGAAGUGUGACGGAGCGACGCCGCGUGUAGGACGAAGCCCGUUACGGGUGUAACUACGUGUCGAGGGUUAGAAGUUCGUAGAU
rnacentral:rRNA from 1 species